AUGCUGGCUCUUAAUUGAGCAUGUGCUCGUUCCAUCUAUUUAUCUUCUCUUGUGCACAUUUUGUAGUCUUGAAUUGAAACCUCUCGCAGUCAAUGCGGUUUGGGAGAAUGUUAACCCUUCUCCUGCUUCUUCAAGGCUAUGUUUUCAUAUACACUAUAAAGUUACAGAAUGUCUUUUAACGACUUGUGCUUGUCGCAGUCAUUAAACCUAUACAACUUUCAGCAACGGAUCUCUUGGCUCUCCUAUCGAUGAAGAACGCAGCGAAAUGCGAUAAGUAAUGUGAAUUGCAGAAUUCAGUGAAUCAUCGAAUCUUUGAACGCACCUUGCGCCCUUUGGUAUUCCGAAGGGCAUGCCUGUUUGAGUGUCAUUAAAUUAUCAACCUUGCUCGCUUUUACCGGCUUGAGUGAGGCUUGGACGUGAGGGCUUUGCUGGCUUCCUUCAGUGGAUGGUCUGCUCCCUUUAAAUGCAUUAGUGGGAUCUCUUGUGGACCGUCACUUGGUGUGAUAAUUAUCUAUGCCAUUUGACUUUGAAGCAAACUUAUGGGAACCUGCUUAUAACCGUCUUCGGACAACCUUUGACAUUUUGACCUCAAAUCAGGUAGGACUACCCGCUGAACUUAAGCAUAUCAAUAAGCGGAGGAAAA
rnacentral:rRNA from 1 species